rnacentral:rRNA from 1 species
CCUACGGGAGGCAGCAGUGGGGAAUAUUGCACAAUGGGGGAAACCCUGAUGCAGCGACGCCGCGUGAGUGAAGAAGUAAUUCGUUAUGUAAAGCUCUAUCAGCAGGGAAGAAAAUGACGGUACCUGAGUAAGAAGCCCCGGCUAACUACGUGCCAGCAGCCGCGGUAACAAGUAGGGGGCAAGCGUUAUCCGGAUGUACUGGGUGGAAAGGGAGCGUAGACGGGAGUGCAAGGCUGGAGUGAAAGGCGGGGGCUCAACCCCCGGACUGCUCUGGAAACUGUACGGCUGGAGUGCAGGAGAGGUAAGUGGAAUUCGUAGUGUAGCGGUGAAAUGCGUAGAUAUUAGGAGGAACACCGGUGGCGAAGGCGGCUUACUGGACUGUAACUGACGUUGAGGCACGAAAGCGUGGGGAGCAAACAGGAUUAGAUACCCGUGUAGUC